rnacentral:rRNA from 1 species
GAAUAUUAGUCAAUGAUCGAAAGAUUGAUCUAGUUACUUAGAAAGAUGAAGAUUAUAAAAAGAAAGUAAAAAAGAAAAUAAUAAUGAAGAAUAUAAAAUCAAUAUAUAUAUAGAAGAAAAAAGAUGAGAAUAUAUAUAGAAGUCUUAACCAAAAUUAGUGCCAGCAGUUGCGGCUAAACUAAGGAGGCAAACGUUAAUCAUUAAUGGCUUAAAGGAUCCGUAGAAUGAUAUAUUAAAAAAUAUAUUAGAGUUAAAUAGAAUAAUAAUGAAAAAUUAUAUUGAGAGAUGAAAUGUGUGGAAAAUAAUUAGACAAAUAAACGUGAAGAUAAAAUUAAAAAUUUAACUGACAUUGAGGGAUGAAGGCAUGAGUAGCAAAACGGAUUAGAUACCCGAGUAGUUCAUGCAGUAAACGAUGAAUACUUAUAAAAAUAAAAGCGAAAGCAAAAGUAUUCCGCCAGGAGAGUAUAGCUUCAAAGUUGAAAUCCAAGACAAUAGACGGUUACAGUUGUAGGCAGUGGAUUGUGUUAUUUAAU